GACGAACGCUGGCGGCGUGCCUAAUACAUGCAAGUCGAACGGUUUAGUUCCAAGAGGCUUGCCUUUUGGAACUAGACAGUGGCGGACGGGUGAGUAACACGUAGGCAACCUACCUGUCAAACCGGGAUAACCUCGGGAAACCGAAGCUAAACCCGGAUAAGCUCCUUUUUCGCAUGAAGGGGGAGUGAAAAGGUGCGACCUGAUGACAGAUGGGCCUGCGGCGCAUUAGCUAGUAGGUAGGGUAACGGCCUACCUAGGCGAUUAUGCGUAGCCGACCUGAGGGUGACGACGGACUAGAUGCGACUGAGAAAAGGCCCAGAGUCCUACGGGAGGAAGCAGUAGAGAAUCGUCGGCUAUGGGUGGAAGCCUGACGGAGCAACGCCGCUUGAGUGAACACGGACUGCGGGUUGUAAUACUCUGUUGUUUAGGAAGGAGGGAAAGGGGAGGGUCCUUUGGUGAAGGUACCGAACUAGAUAGGCACGGCUAACUACGUG
rnacentral:rRNA from 1 species